UCAUUUUUUUUUCCUCUUUUGACAUUUGCGACUGGUUAAGUGACAGUUUUUCAAGUUUCUUUUCUAAUAUUUGUUCACUUCCAGACCUUCUUUUCACUUAAUAAUGGCAACAACAGGACAGGUAAUCAGAUGCCUGGCUGCUGUUGCUUGGGAGCCCAGGAAACCUCUUUCUAUUGAAGAAGUGGAUGUUGCCCCUCCUAAGGCUCAUGAAGUCCGGAUCAAGGUUGUUGCCUCAGGCGUGUGCCACACAGACUGUGAAUACCUGUAUGAAGCCGGAAGAGGAACGCACGCCCGACCUUUCCCUCUGGUUCUCGGCCAUGAAGCGGCAGGUGUAGUGGAGAGUGUUGGCCCAGACGUAACAAAGUUUGCACCGGGGGAUAAAGUUAUUCCUCUUUUUCUUCCGUUUUGUGAAGAGUGUGACCAGUGUAAAUGUGAGAAAACAAACCUCUGCAAGAAGAACUGGGAAAACACACAAGCGGGUGUUUUGGCUGACGGGACGAGUAGAAUAUCUUGCAGAGGUCAGCAGGUCUAUCAGUUCCUGGGUGUCAGCUCCUUUUGUCAGUACACGGUGGUCCCCGAUACGUCUCUGGCUAAGAUAGACCCCAAGGCUCCGCUGGAUAAAGUCUGCCUGCUGGGCUGCGGCGUCUCCACCGGUUACGGUGCGGCUGUUAAAACCGGGAAGGUUGAGAAAGGUUCCUGCUGUGCUGUGUUUGGGCUCGGAGCGGUGGGUCUGGCCGCCGUUAUGGGCUGCCAGGCGGCCAAGGCCAGUAGGAUCAUCGCGGUCGACAUCAACCCUGACAAGUUCCAGAAAGCCAGAGAGUUUGGAGCGACAGAGUGCAUCAACCCCAGAGAUUAUGAAAACAAGGACAUCCAGGAUAUUCUGGUGGAGAAGACCAACGGGGGGGUGGACUAUGCUCUAGAAUGUGUUGGCAAUCCAGUGACCAUGAGUGCUGCGCUGGAGUCCACAAGAGACGGCUGCGGAACAUGCAUCAUUGCUGGGUGGACAGAGACGGAGUCGAUGAGCGUCCAGGUUAUAAAGAUCCUGAUGGGGCGCACCCUGAAGGGGACUUACUUUGGUGGUCAGUUCAAAACAUUCCAGCCUUAUUUUAGGUUGGAAAAGUGCGAAGGAUGUUCCUCAACUGGUGGAGGAUUACAUGCAGAAGAAACUGAAGCUGGAUGAAUUUAUCAGUCAUAAUCUCCCGCUGGCUCAGAUCAAUGAGGCCUUCGACCUGCUGAGGAACGGCCGAAGUAUCCGAACAGUCAUCAGUCUGGAAGACUUCUAAAAGAAGGUUACACCAGAACUGAGUCCAACAAGAAGAAGUGCCUUUAUCCUUUGAUUUAUCCAAGUUUUAGCAACAAGUUACCAUAAAUCCCACUAGGUGGCAGUGUUGUAUCAUAGAAAAAAAUUGGACAUUUGUCCCUAUAAUCAUCCUAUCCCAUUUCCAUUUAUGAAGUUUCUUUUAUUUUAUGUUUUUCCUACAGUUAAUUAAAAUCUUGAUGCAAACACCACA